rnacentral:rRNA from 1 species
UACGUAGGGUGCAAGCGUUGUCCGGAAUUAUUGGGCGUAAAGAGCUCGUAGGUGGUUUGUCGCGUUGUCCGUGAAAACUCACAGCUCAACUGUGGGCGUGCGGGCGAUACGGGCAGACUGGAGUACUGCAGGGGAGACUGGAAUUCCUGGUGUAGCGGUGGAAUGCGCAGAUAUCAGGAGGAACACCGGUGGCGAAGGCGGGUCUCUGUGCAGUAACUGACGCUGAGGAGCGAAAGCGUGGGGAGCGAACAGG